GAUGAACGCUGGCGGCGUGCCUAAUACAUGCCAGUAGAACGCUGAAGCUUGGUGCUUGCACCGAGCGGAUGAGUUGCGAACGGGUGAGUAACGCGUAGGUAACCUGCCUCUUAGCGGGGGAUAACUAUUGGAAACGAUAGCUAAUACCGCAUAAAAGUCGACAUCGCAUGAUGUUGACUUGAAAGGUGCAAUUGCAUCACUAAGAGAUGGACCUGCGUUGUAUUAGCUAGUUGGUGAGGUAACGGCUCACCAAGGCGACGAUACAUAGCCGACCUGAGAGGGUGAUCGGCCACACUGGGACUGAGACACGGCCCAGACUCCUACGGGAGGCAGCAGUUGGGAAUCUUCGGCAAUGGGGGCAACCCUGACCGAGCAACGCCGCGUGAGUGAAGAAGGUUUUCGGAUCGUAAAGCUCUGUUGUAAGAGAAGAACGAGUGUGAGAGUGGAAAGUUCACACUGUGACGGUAACUUACCAGAAAGGGACGGCUAACUACGUG
rnacentral:rRNA from 1 species